rnacentral:rRNA from 1 species
AUUGAACGCUGGCGGCAUGCCUUACACAUGCAAGUCGAACGCGAAAGGGGGGCAACUCCUGAGUAGAGUGGCGCACGGGUGAGUAAUGCAUCGGAACGUGUCCUGUAGCGGGGGAUAACCUAGCGAAAGCUAGGCUAAUACCGCAUACGUCCUACGGGAGAAAGUGGGGGAUCGUAAGACCUCACACUAUAGGAGCGGCCGAUGCCGGAUUAGCUAGUUGGUGGGGUAAAAGCCUACCAAGGCGACGAUCCGUAGCUGGUCUGAGAGGAUGAUCAGCCACACUGGGACUGAGACACGGCCCAGACUCCUACGGGAGUCAGCAGUAGGGAAUUUUGGACAAUGGGCGGAAGCCUGAUCCAGCAAUGCCGCGUGCAGGAAGAAGGCCUUCGGGUUGUAAACUGCUUUUGUACGGAGCGAAAAGGUCUCCUCUAAUACAGGGGGCUCAUGACGGUACCGUAAGAAUAAGCACCGGCUAACUACGUGCCAGCAGCCGCCGUAACAC